GUGGGGAAUUUUGGACAAUGGGCGCAAGCCUGAUCCAGCAAUGCCGCGUGCAGGAAGAAGGCCUUCGGGUUGUAAACUGCUUUUGUACGGAACGAAACGGUCCGGGUUAAUACCCUGGGCUAAUGACGGUACCGUAAGAAUAAGCACCGGCUAACUACGUGCCAGCAGCCGCGGUAAUACGUAGGGUGCAAGCGUUAAUCGGAAUUACUGGGCGUAAAGCGUGCGCAGGCGGUUUUGUAAGACAGGCGUGAAAUCCCCGGGCUCGACCUGGGAAUUGCGCUUGUGACUGCAAGGCUGGAGUGCGGCAGAAGGGGAAGGAAUUCCGCGUGUAGCAGUGAAAUGCGUAGAUAUGCGGAGGAACACCGAUGGCGAAGGCAAUCCCCUGGGCCUGCACUGACGCUCAUGCACGAAAGCGUGGGGAGCAAACAGGAUUAGAAACCCCAGUAUCC
rnacentral:rRNA from 1 species